rnacentral:rRNA from 1 species
CUGGGUCUAAUACCGGAUAGGAGCGCCUACCGCAUGGUGGGUGUUGGAAAGAUUUAUCGGUUUUGGAUGGACUCGCGGCCUAUCAGCUUGUUGGUGAGGUAAUGGCUCACCAAGGCGACGACGGGUAGCCGGCCUGAGAGGGUGACCGGCCACACUGGGACUGAGACACGGCCCAGACUCCUACGGGAGGCAGCAGUGGGGAAUAUUGCACAAUGGGCGCAAGCCUGAUGCAGCGACGCCGCGUGAGGGAUGACGGCCUUCGGGUUGUAAACCUCUUUCAGUAGGGAAGAAGCGAAAGUGACGGUACCUGCAGAAGAAGCACCGGCUAACUACGUGCCAGCAGCCGCGGUAAUACGUAGGGUGCGAGCGUUAUCCGGAAUUAUUGGGCGUAAAGAGCUCGUAGGCGGUUUGUCGCGUCUGUCGUGAAAGUCCGGGGCUUAACCCCGGAUCUGCGGUGGGUACGGGCAGACUAGAGUGCAGUAGGGGAGACUGGAAUUCCUGGUGUAGCGGUGGAAUGCGCAGAUAUCAGGAGGAACACCGAUGGCGAAGGCAGGUCUCUGGGCUGUAACUGACGCUGAGGAGCGAAAGCAUGGGGAGCGAACAGGAUUAGAUACCCUGGUAGUCCAUGCCGUAAACGUUGGGCACUAGGUGUGGGGACCAUUCCACGGUUUCCGCGCCGCAGCUAACGCAUUAAGUGCCCCGCCUGGGGAGUACGGCCGCAAGGCUAAAACUCAAAGGAAUUGACGGGGGCCCGCACAAGCGGCGGAGCAUGCGGAUUAAUUCGAUGCAACGCGAAGAACCUUACCAAGGCUUGACAUGUUCUCGAUCGCCGUAGAGAUACGGUUUCCCCUUUGGGGCGGGUUCACAGGUGGUGCAUGGUUGUCGUCAGCUCGUGUCGUGAGAUGUUGGGUUAAGUCCCGCAACGAGCGCAACCCUCGUUCCAUGUUGCCAGCACGUAAUGGUGGGGACUCAUGGGAGACUGCCGGGGUCAACUCGGAGGAAGGUGAGGACGACGUCAAAUCAUCAUGCCCCUUAUGUCUUGGGCUUCACGCAUGCUACAAUGGCCGGUACAAUGGGUUGCGAUACUGUGAGGUGGAGCUAAUCCCAAAAAGCCGGUCUCAGUUCGGAUUGGGGUCUGCAACUCGACCCCAUGAAGUCGGAGUCGCUAGUAAUCGCAG